rnacentral:rRNA from 1 species
UAGUUCUCGUUGAUCCUGCGAGAGGUUGCUGCUAUGAGGGUGCGACUUAGCCAUGCAAGUCAGGGAAGCAAUUCCCGGCGAAUAGCUCAGUAACACGUCGAUAACCUGCCCUUUGGUCAUGGAUAACCUCGGGAAACUGAGGACAAUACAUGGUAGGGAAUGGGCACUGGAACGUCCCAUUUCUGAAAGGUAACGCCAAAGGAUGGGUCGGCGGCCGAUUAGGUUGUUGGUGAGGUAAUGGCUCACCAAGCCGACGAUCGGUAGGGGCCGUGAGAGCGGUAGCCCCGAGAAGGGAACUGAGACACUGUCCCUAGCCCUAAGGGGUGCAGCAGGCGCGUAACCUUUACAAUGUGCGAAAGCGUGAUAAGGGUACCCUCAGUGCUUAUGCAAUGCAUAGGCUUUUGUCAAGGGUAAAAACCUUGGCGAAUAAGUGGUGGGUAAGACUGGUGCCAGCCGCCGCGGUAACACCAGCGCCACGAGUGGGAACCGCUUUUAUUGGGCCUAAAGCGUCCGUAGCAGGUCAUGUAAAUUCUUUGUGAAAUCAUCCAGCUCAACUGGUUGACGCGCAAAGAACACUGCAUGACUAGGGACCGGGAGGGGCAAGAGGUAUUCUUGGGGGAGCGGUAAAAUGCUAUAAUCCCAAGAGGACCACCUGUGGCGAAGGCGUCUUGCCAGAACGGAUCCGACUGUGAGGGACGAAAGCUAGGGGAGCNNNNNNNNGUGCGGCGUGCGGUUUAAUCUAACUCAACACAGAGAAUCUCACCAGCAGCGACGGCAGGAUGAAAGUCAGGUUGAAGGCCUUACUUGACGAGCCGAGAGGUGGUGCAUGGCCGUCGUCAGCUCGUGCCGUAAGGUGUCCUCUUAAGUGAGGCAACGAGCGAGACCUGUACUCGCAAUUGCUAACAGGCUCAGUGACUGAGCACAAUGCGAGGACUGCCUUGGAAACAAGGAGGA